rnacentral:rRNA from 1 species
GACGAACGCUGGCGGCGUGCUUAACACAUGCAAGUCGAGCGGAAAGGCCACUUCGGUGGUACUCGAGCGGCGAACGGGUGAGUAACACGUGAGUAAUCUGCCCUUGGCUUUGGGAUAGCCACCGGAAACGGUGAUUAAUACCGGAUACGACCACUUCUCGCAUGGGAUGGUGGUGGAAAGUUUUUCGGCCAGGGAUGUGCUCGCGGCCUAUCAGCUUGAUGGUGAGGUAAUGGCUCACCAUGGCUUCGACGGGUAGCCGGCCUGAGAGGGUGACCGGUCACACUGGGACUGAGACACGGCCAGACUCCUACGGGAGGCAGCAGUGGGGAAUAUUGGACAAUGGGCGGAAGCCUGAUCCAGCAACGCCGCGUGAGGGAUGACGGCCUUCGGGUUGUAAACCUCUUUCGGUGGGGACGAAGCGCAAGUGACGGUACCCACUAAAGAAGCACCGGCCAACUACGUGCCAGCCGCCGCGGUAACAC